AUUGAACGCUGGCGGCAUGCCUUACACAUGCAAGUCGAACGGCAGCGGACCUUCGGGUGCCGGCGAGUGGCGAACGGGUGAGUAAUAUAUCGGAACGUACCUUUCAGUGGGGGAUAACGUAGCGAAAGUUACGCUAAUACCGCAUAUUCUGUGAGCAGGAAAGCAGGGGAUCGCAAGACCUUGCGCUGAUUGAGCGGCCGAUAUCAGAUUAGCUAGUUGGUGAGGUAAAGGCUCACCAAGGCGACGAUCUGUAGCGGGUCUGAGAGGAUGAUCCGCCACACUGGAACUGAGACACGGUCCAGACUCCUACGGGAGGCAGCAGUGGGAAUUUUGGACAAUGGGCGCAAGCCUGAUCCAGCCAUGCCGCGUGAGUGAAGAAGGCCUCGGUU
rnacentral:rRNA from 1 species